UGUGUGCACAGGUGCAUUUCUUCAUGUGU
rnacentral:piRNA from 1 species